CGUGAAAUUCUGUUGUGUGGUUUGAGAGGAGUUGCGAUGACAAACUGUUGCAGUAGUACAUUAAGUAAAUAAGUUCAAAGGGGCGUAACUCCUAGAAAAAAAAUUGAAUUGCAAUUUCCCGUCGAUAUGCACAACUACAUAGUAUGUCCUUAUUAUCUGAAAAGGUUUGGUGAAAUUCUGUUGUGUGGUUUCAAAGGAGUUGCGAUGACAAACUGUUGCAGUAGUACAUUAAAGUAAAUAAGUUCAAAGGGGCGUAACUCCUAGAAAAAAAAUUGAAUCGCAAUUUCCCGUCGAUAUGCACAACUACAUAGUAUGUCCUUAUUAUCUGAAAAGGUUUUGUGAAAUUCUGUUGUGUGGUUUGAGAGGAGUUGCGAUGACAGAGAAACAGGACUGACGGACUGACGGGUCAAAAACAUUAUAACCU
rnacentral:lncRNA from 1 species